rnacentral:misc_RNA from 1 species
CGCUACACGUUAAGGAUUGAGUGGUUUGUUUGAGCUCUUUUUUGUUUUUUCUACAAAAAAAGCGAGUAACGAAAGCCUGACCCUUG